ACAGCAGCCGCCGCGGUAAUACGAGGGGGGCAAGCGUUGUUCGGAAUUAUUGGGCGUAAAGGGUGCGUAGGCGGUUUGACAAGUCUUAUGUGAAAUCUUCGGGCUCAACCCGAAGUCUGCAUGAGGAACUGUUGAGUUUGAGUAUGGGAGAGGUGAGUGGAAUUUCCGGCGUAGCGGUGAAAUGCGUAGAUAUCGGAAGGAACACCUGUGGCGAAAGCGGCUCACUGGACAAUAACUGACACUGAUGCACGAAAGCUAGGGGAGCAAACAGGAUUAGAUACCCGAGUAGUCCCUGUCUCUUAUAA
rnacentral:rRNA from 1 species